rnacentral:rRNA from 1 species
GACGAACGCUGGCGGCGUGCUUAACACAUGCAAGUCGAACGGAAAGGCCCUGCUUUUGUGGGGUGCUCGAGUGGCGAACGGGUGAGUAACACGUGAGUAACCUGCCCUUGACUUUGGGAUAACUUCAGGAAACUGGGGCUAAUACCGGAUAGGAGCUCCUGCGGCAUGGUGGGGGUUGGAAAGUUUCGGCGGUUGGGGAUGGACUCGCGGCUUAUCAGCUUGUUGGUGGGGUAGUGGCUUACCAAGGCUUUGACGGGUAGCCGGCCUGAGAGGGUGACCGGCCACAUUGGGACUGAGAUACGGCCCAGACUCCUACGGGAGGCAGCAGUGGGGAAUAUUGCACAAUGGGCGGAAGCCUGAUGCAGCAGCGCCGCGUGCGGGAUGACGGCCUUCGGGUUGUAAACCGCUUUCGCAUGUGACGAAGCGUGAGUGACGGUAAUGGGUAAAGAAGCACCGGCUAACUACGUG